rnacentral:rRNA from 1 species
AUUGAACGCUGGCGGCAUGCUUUACACAUGCAAGUCGAACGGCAGCGCGGGCUUCGGCCUGGCGGCGAGUGGCGAACGGGUGAGUAAUGCAUCGGAACGUGCCCAGUAGUGGGGGAUAGCCCGGCGAAAGCCGGAUUAAUACCGCAUACGACCUGAGGGUGAAAGCGGGGGACCGAAAGGCCUCGCGCUAUUGGAGCGGCCGAUGUCGGAUUAGCUAGUUGGUGGGGUAAAGGCUUACCAAGGCGACGAUCCGUAGCUGGUCUGAGAGGACGACCAGCCACACUGGGACUGAGACACGGCCCAGACUCCUACGGGAGGCAGCAGUGGGGAAUUUUGGACAAUGGGGGCAACCCUGAUCCAGCCAUGCCGCGUGCGGGAAGAAGGCCUUCGGGUUGUAAACCGCUUUUGUUCGGGAAGAAAUCCUCUGGGCUAAUACCCCGGGGGGAUGACGGUACCGGAAGAACAAGCACCGGCUAACUACGUG